rnacentral:RNase_P_RNA from 1 species
AGUCAGGUGGACAAUCGCGGCCGCGAACCGAAAGGUUGCGGGUGAGGAAAGUCCGGGCUCCGCAGGACAAGGACGCCGGCUAAUGACCGGUGAAGGCGACUUUAAGGAAAGUGCAACAGAAAGAUACCGCCGGCCUUUGUGCCGGUAAGGGUGAAAAGGCGAGGUAAGAGCUCACCGUGAAUUCUGGUAACAGAACUCACCUGUAAACCCCGUCCGGAGCAACACCGUGGAGAGACAUAGUCUGUGGUCCGCAGGUCUCGUGGAGGUGGCUUGAACCACAAUGAGAGUUGUGGUCUGGAUAGAUGAUUGUUCAAGACAGAACCCGGCUUAUAGCCUGACUCG